rnacentral:rRNA from 1 species
UACAGAGGGUGCAAGCGUUAAUCGGAAUUACUGGGCGUAAAGCGUGCGUAGUCGGUUAUUUAAGUCGGAUGUGAAAUCCCCGGGCUCAACCUGGGAAUUGCCUUUGAUACUGGGGAUCUUGAGUCCGGGAGAGGUGAGUGGAAUUGCGAGUGUAGAGGUGAAAUUCGUAGAUAUUCGCAAGAACACCAGUGGCGAAGGCGGCUCACUGGCCCGGUACUGAAGCUGAGGUGCGAAAGCGUGGGGAGCAAACAGG